GACAGAGGAUGCAAGCGUUAUCCGGAAUGAUUGGGCGUAAAGCGUCUGUAGGUGGCUUUUAAGUCCGCCGUCAAUCCCAGGGCUCAACCCUGGACAGGCGGUGGAAACUACCAAGCUGGAGUACGGUAGGGGCAGAGGGAAUUUCCGGUGGGAGCGGUGAAAUGCGUAGAGAUACCGGAAGGAAACACCCAAAGGCGGAGGAACGCAGCUU
rnacentral:rRNA from 1 species